UGCUUAGUGCCCUCUAAUGGCAGACGGCAUCAACAAUUAAUACCAAAACACCCCUCACCCCGCGGAAAAGGGCAGCUUUCCAAAGCCGCCUCUCCUCCUGCAGGGGACGGAUCCCAGGCGCAAGGUGCCUACAGGGGGCCGGACCCCCAAACCCUCCCCAUCCCCGGGCAACGCCCCCUGGGGAGCGGGGGUAAAGGGGCUUGUCCCGGUCACCGGCGGGGGUCCCGUCUCGAAAAGGCUGGGGGGCAGCGGCGAGGCUGCCCCGGCUCGCCCCCGCACCGAGCGCCCCGCUCCCGGCACCGCGCCGCUGGGGCGCAGGUUCCCCGCUCUGCUCCUGCUCUCUCUCUCUCUCUCUCUCUCUCUCUUUUUUUUUUUUUUUUCCCCCCAAGUUUGUCUGUGUUUUUUUUUUUUUUUUUUUUUUCAUAAUUGGCCAAUGCGGUGUUUAUCCUGAUAAUGUUUUCAAUUAUAAAGGGGCAUUUUCAGGCCGUAUUCCUGGAAAUGAGAUGCCGGAUGGGUCGAUAACGUUUGCACAUGUGCUUCAUGCGUGCAUCAUCGGGAGAUCAAUAUGAUUGCGCUGGAGUUGUUGCCUGUGUCAAGGAUGGCCACUUCAGGACCAUCAUUUUCAUAAAGAGCAUGUCUGUAUAAAGUUUUCUCGGGUGUGAACAGAACUGCAAGCAAAAGCUGAUUAUUUGGAAGAUAUCUUGAUUUGGGUCAAGAAAAAUUGGAAACUUAUCUUGACACAUCCCUGCCUAAAAUUCAGGAGAGGUGAAGAAGCUUCUAGCAUCCUCCCGUUGUCCUGGAUGCACGCAUCAUCUGAUUUGGUUUCUCACACAGAUGGCUUCUUCCACGGAGCAAGAGCUCAAAUAAAGGUAGAACGUCCUCUUCUGGUAGCAGAGAAACCUUACUAGCUUCACCUAAUUGUCCUGGUUACCACAAAAAUUAGGGCCCUUUUUUGCAAAAUGGCACUUUUAUGAAAGCUCUCCUAUUUUACAUUUCUGAUACCAAAUUUAAGGACUUUUCUGACCACCAUUGCAUUAUUGCAGUUUAUAAGCUUUUCUUUCAUCUGUUUGUUUUGUUUUGUUUUCCCCAGUGUGGGCAAUUCAAUCCUUUACCUGCUGUACAAAUGUCAAGUACUGCUUUUCAGAGUAGCACAAGAACUUGGAAUGUAAAAGUCCAUUUUGUAAUUUAGCCAAGACUUUUUCAUGAAAAACAAGCAAACCAGUUCUUGAUAAAACUAAGCCCCUCAAAUGUAUUAACUAAAUUCUGGUGUUAUGCUCUUCAGGUGUUACAUAUGUGUGCUAUUACAGUGAAGUUAUACCUACACAUAAGUGAGAUGGUUAAAUACAGAACUUAUACUGUAUGGUAUUGGUAAAAGUUGUGCUUAUGAGAGGAAUACAAAUACAUUCAAUUAUUAUUAUUAUUAUGUUUUAAAUUGACCAAAGGGUUUUCAGGUAGUGUACAAUGGACUGAAUUAAGAGGUAAAAGGGAUUUUACCUAAUAAAUAUCACUGGGAGGUGCGGGAAAUGCAAAGGGAGUAUAAGUUUGCUCAUCAGUCAAUAUUUUGUAAGUCACAUCUAAAAAGCCGUUACCAUCUUUGACCAAGACAGCUGGAAACACUCUGUUUGUAACUUCUUCUUGUACUCUAUUUGGAACUUCUUCCUGUGGUUGAAUUGAAAUAAGAAGUUGAACAUGGUCAACUACUCCUCUUGUAGGUGGCACUGUGAACCAGCACUGAGGAAGUGAGGCAGGCCUUACUAUUCAGUACCCACUGCUAACAGGAUGUGAUUUGGUGAGAGAACAGAAAACAACUAGAGGCACAGACCAUGGAAUUGCUAGGGCAGAAGACUCUCCAGUUUCUGAGAUUGCAAUGUGUUCAGUAGCAGGAAUUCCAACCUCGACUCUGAAUGAAAUUUUGAGAAUGUAGGAAAAAGAAAAUGUAGUAAUUGCUGGCAACCUACUCUGAACAGCCAUUUAGGCUGCUGCUGUUUUGAAGAAAUGCCUAAAUGCCAGAAAGGCAUCACCACCAUACCUAGACAACCCAUUUUCCGUGUAAAGGAUUAAGAAUUGUCAUAGAGGAAUGGAGCAUGGAAAGAGCAAAGAUGUCAGAUAUAACAGUUCCUGGAAGACCAGUAUUAAGUGAAUCUUCAGUGGUCCUUAGUCGUAUACUAAGUGCAAAAUGUCUCUUGCCCAGCUUCCUGACUGGCAAAUUGCCUUUCCUACUUCCAUAACUCUGCCAAGAGGAGCUAUGUCACAAUUGGUGAUAUAACACCAAAUUUUUAAGUUAAAAUAAUAGAUGAGGCACAUGGUGCUUUGGGAAUGGUAGGGUUAUAUGUGGUUAUUGUACUUUUAAGGUCUGGAACGUUUAGUGUGGCAGACUUUAAAAGACAUGUCAGUUGGCAAUCAGUUGCAGCUGGAACAGGAUUGGAGACAAAUCUCAAGAUUAAAGUGAGGACGGACGUAGUUUGUAAAUAACUACUGUGAAAAUUCAAUUAAUUUUUGCUAUUACAUUAUUUUUCUUCUUGUUAUUUUGAUUCUACUAAAGAUAAUGCAGAGGGCAUAUCUGAUUCAUUGGAUAUGUGGAGUCACAUCAUUUUCUAAUCCAAAAAAGGAUUUGUUUUACUGGAGGUCCCAGCCUGAAGCUUAAAUGGAAUAAAAAUUGUUGUUGAGACUGCUACCCAUAGCCAACUGUGAAAAACUUAAUAUAGCAUGGCCAAAAGGGUAACAA